CGGACAGUGGCGCAACCGGCAGACGCCCUCGGCUUAAACCCGACGAGCCCAAAUCGGGAUGCGAGUUCGAAUCUCGCCUGUCCGACCA
rnacentral:tRNA from 1 species